CGUAAAUGUCUUGGCUUUACGUUUUUGUGCACUGAUGAUGAUUUUUUUCUUAUUCUGUUGUUUUUAAAAGAAAAGCAAUA
rnacentral:misc_RNA from 1 species